rnacentral:rRNA from 1 species
GACGAACGCUGGCGGCGUGCUUAACACAUGCAAGUCGAACGGAAAGGCCCUGCUUUUGUGGGGUGCUCGAGUGGCGAACGGGUGAGUAAAACGUGAGUAUCCUGCCCUUGUCUUUCGGAUAACUUUAGGAAACUGGGGCUAAUACCGGAUAGGAGCUCUUGCUGCAUGGUGGGGGUUGGAAAGUUUCGGCGGUUGGGGCUGGACUCGCGGGUUACCAGCUUGUUGGUGGGGUAGUGGCUUACCAAGGCUUUGACGGAUAGCCGGCCUGAGAGGGGGAACGGCCACAUGGGGCCUACGAUACGGCGCAGACUCGUACGGGAGGCAGCAGGGGGAAAUAUUGCACAAUGGGCGGAAGCCAGAGGCAGCAACGCCGCGUGCGGGAUGACGGCCUUCGGGUGGUAAACCGCUGUCGCCUGAAACGAAGCGUGAGUGACGGUAAUGGGUAAAAAAGCACCGGCUAACUACGUG